rnacentral:tRNA from 1 species
GGUGGCUCAGUGGCAGAGCUCUUGCCUUGCAUGCAUGAGGUCCUGGGUUCGAUUCCUCAGCACCA